rnacentral:rRNA from 1 species
CCCAAUCGUGACACACGGAGGUAGUGACAAUAAAUAUCAAUGCGGAACCUUUUAGGUUUUGCAAUUGGAAUGAGAACGAUUUAAAUCCCUUAACGAGGAUCAAUUGGAGGGCAAGUCUGGUGCCAGCAGCCGCGGUAAUUCCAGCUCCAAUAGCGUAUAUUAAUGUUGUUGCAGUUAAAAAGCUCGUAGUUGAAUUUCUGGAGCUUGAUUUCAAUCCGGGUGUCCUGUUCAUUCAGGCCUUGUGUAUUGUCUUUAUCAAGUCUCCAUCUUAGUAGUGAGUGUAACUGGCAUUAGGUUGUCGGGUGCAGGAGCUGCUUCGUUUACUGUGAAUAAAAUAGAGUGUUUAAAGCAGGCAUUACGCCUUGAAUACUUCAGCAUGGAAUAAAAUUAUAGGACUUUGGUGCUAUUUUAUUGGCUUGCACACCGAGUAAUGAUUAAUAGGGACAGUUGGGGGUAUUCAUAUUUGAUUGUCAGAGGUGAAAUUCUUGGAUUUAUGAAAGAUGAACUUAUGCGAAAGCAUUUACCAAGGAUGUUUUCAUUAAUCAAGAACGAAAGUUAGGGGAUCGAAGAGGAUUAGAUACCCUCGUAGUCUUAACCAUAAACUAUGCCGACUCGGGAUCAGUGGGGUUUGUUUAACGUCUCCAUUGGCACCGUAUGAGAAAUCAAAGUCUUUGGGUUCCGGGGGGAGUAUGGUCGCAAGGCUGAAACUUAAAGGAAUUGACGGAAGGGCACCACCAGGAGUGGAGCCUGCGGCUUAAUUUGACUCAACACGGGGAAACUUACCAGGU